UUUCUAGGAUGGAGAUUCCAGGAAUAGCUAUUUCUAGAAGAGGGAAGUAGUUCUAUAGAAAGAAACAUAUUUAGAGCAGAGUCAGACUGUUGUAUAUAAACCAUAUAAAUUUCACAGAACCUCCCCCCAAAAUAUUAUAAGUUUUUCUAUCACACUGGGUUAUGCUAUACCUUAACCAUUAAUUGUGGUUUUAUUUCUAUGGGAAUAUGUUCCAAGUUCAAAGUAAGAGACUUAUAAAACCAUUUUUGGAAUGCAACUUGUUCAUAAAUUGAGGACUUCCUGUACUUCUACAGUAUAUCUAUUACUCUAUUGGCUAGAAGUAUUAUAGAUUGAUGUGCAAAUCUCAGUUUAUAGCCAGUCUCAAGUGGAUAUUACAUCUAUCAGAGUCAUCCCUAGAAUAAAGUAAAUUGUGAAGAUUACCCUGAAACCUGUGCUUUUUAGAGAAUUAUUGCAGAUCUAUCAGUGCUCCCAGACUGCCAGUUGGUAGUCUGUUACAUGACAGGAUGUCCCAGUACAGCUCAGGUGAAACCAGAUCUGGCCCAACCUUGCUCCUGCAACACAGAAUUCUACCUAGGAAAUAACAAGCAGGAAGAACUCAGAAAGACCUGGAAAGACUUACAUAAACUGAAGCAAAGUGAUAUAAGCAGAACCAUGAGAACAUUAUAGAAAGAGACGGGAAAACUACAAUCAACAAAUGUGAAUAACAGCUAUUCUCAGCAAUAUAAUGACUCAGAACUACCCCAAAAGACUCAUGAUAAAU